rnacentral:rRNA from 1 species
UCGUUAACGAACGAGACCUUAACCUGCUAAAUAGGAACAAGCGACACUUUAGGGCGGAAUGAUACGGACCAUGCUGAGCGUCGCUUCGGUGGCGUGCAAGUAUGGCACCGGUCAUCCGUUCGUCCUUGGCCUACUUCUUAGAGGGACUGCCGGUGUUGCAACCGGAGGAAGUUUGAGGCAAUAACAGGUCUGUGAUGCCCUUAGAUGUUCUGGGCCGCACGCGCGCUACACUGACGGAGCCAGCGAGUACUGGCGCAAGCCUUCCUUGGCCGAAAGGUCCGGGUAAUCUUGGGAAACUCCGUCGUGCUGGGGAUAGUCCUUUGCAAUUAUUGGACUUGAACGAGGAAUUCCUAGUAAGCGCGGUUCAUCAGAUCGCGUUGAUUACGUCCCUGCCCUUUGUACACACCGCCCGUCGCUAAUACCGAUUGAAUGGGUGU